AUGGAGGGAAUUUCUGCCGGGAAUUUUGCUCCAGCCUGGCCGCUUUGCUGGGGUUCUGUGCUUGGGGACACCCCAGGAUGUGUCCCGGGGUGGGAUUGGGGACAAUUCCUGCACUGCGGUGUCAUCACCUCCUCCCCAGGGAUCCCGGUUACCUGCGGCAAACCUGCCCCCGGCAUCUGGCUGCUAAUCCCGGGAUUAGCGGCCGCGGGGAGCGGCAGAUGGAGCCCGGGACCCCCGGCGGGCAGCCCGCGACCCCCGCGGUGGCGGCGGCAGCUGAAUCCUCCCAGCGGAGCCACCUCCGUGGUGCCGCCAGGGGAAUUCCCACCGGGAUUUCUCCCCCGGGACAUCAUCCCUGCCCCGGGGGCCCUGGGAAAGCCCCGGUUGGAGGGAAAUGAGACGCGUCACCGCUCCCGGUUCCAGCUCUUCCUGGGCUUCUGGGAAAGCCAAGAAUCCCCCGUGUCCAGCUUCUUCUCGCCCCCGAAAUCUCCGCAGCGUUCUCAGGGUGGGAGAAAGGGAAGGAGAGGAGGAAAUGGCUGCGUGUCUCCAUCAUGUGCCCGCUGCCCCCCAAAUCAUUCUCGGGGUGGCGGUCAGGCAGAGGGGAAUAAGGGAGAUGCCCCCAGGGCUGUGUCGGGGGUCUCUGCCCCCCAAUUCCCAGCCAGGCCCCCCGUCCUGUGGCUGCGUGCUAACCCCAGGGUCCCCGCUCAAUGGGAGGAAGGAAAUCCUCAUCCUCGGGAAAGGCUGGACACGGCCGUUUCCUCCCGCCGCGCUGGGCAGGGGCCGGGGCCCCGACAUCACCCCCCGCCCCACCCGCUGGAAAUCCCGGCCGGACACCGGGUUUGGUCCUGCUGGGGUCACACGGGAAACCGGGACAGGCCGGGGCCGCUCUGUGCCCCCCAGACCCGCAGGAUCUGCCGGGGGGGGCUCGGGGGUGCAAGCAGCGGAGCCCCUCCGUGCCCCUGGGAAUGGGGGGGUCCCGCUCCCUGCCGGUGCCGGUGCCGGUGCCGGUGCCGGUGCCGGUGCCGGUGCCGGUGCCGGUGCCGGUGCCGGUGCCGGGGUGGGGUGGGGGUGAGGGAAGGCACAAUCCCGUGGGCUCGCCGCGUCUGGCUCCCCUCCAGCCUUCGCUAUUCCCGCUGCUCCUUCCUCUUCCUCGCCCUUUGCCCGCUGGCGGCAGCGCUGAGAAACGGCGGCGGCUCCGCUCCGGUGCCUUUGGUUCUCCCCGUCCCCGCCGUUCCCCGGGGCUCUGCCCGGCACCGACACCCCCUUUGCCCUUCCCGGCGCCACCGACGGUGCUGCGACUGGUCGCGGUCCUGUGCUGGUCCUGAUCCCGGUUCUGCUCCCGGUCCCGGUUCCCCCGGACCCGCUCCGGUGUUUGAUCUCCGCUUCCAGCGACAGAAAUCCCCCCGGUGUGACCGGGGCUGA
rnacentral:lncRNA from 1 species